rnacentral:rRNA from 1 species
CAGCCGCCACGGUAAUACGAGGGGGGCAAGCGUUGUUCGGAAUUAUUGGGCGUAAAGGGUGCGUAGGCGGUUUGGCAAGUUUGGUGUGAAAUCUUCGGGCUCAACUCGAAGUCUGCAUCGAAAACUGCCGGGCUUGAGUAUGGGAGAGGUGAGUGGAAUUUCCGGUGUAGCGGUGAAAUGCGUAGAUAUCGGAAGGAACACCUGUGGCGAAAGCGGCUCACUGGACCAUAACUGACGCUGAUGCACGAAAGCUAGGGGAGCAAACAGGAUUAGAUACCCCGGUAGUCCCUGUCUCUUAUAC